ACAGGGCAUGCUGUCUGAGGAAGAUCCCAAAAGAGUCCUCUGAGGGCCUUCUUCCUGUGUGAGACAGCUGGCCUCUCAUUGUGUCCUCAUGGUGGAAGAGGCUAGCUCCUCACACCUGUCUCCCAACUCUGCAGAGUUCCAACCUCUCUCACCACAGGGAACCUCAGAGUAAGAGGUGAAGAAGGGAAUGCUGGGACUUUUCCCAUGAACAGCUAGCCUUCCUAUACCCAGACAGCCCCUGCCGAGGGGAACCCGUUAGCCAAAACUAUCGUCCGGUGGGCAUCUUGAACAGCUUCAUUUUAAAGGGAUGUAAGCCCCAGCAGCGACAAGGAGGCCUGAGGGCGUUGAUCACGUUAUCUGCUGACAGUGCGCCUCACCUGCCUGCUGGUGUGGAGGGUGCUCAAGAAGAAGGAAGUGUUUUCUCUUCCUGCUCCUCAGGAACAGGGUUCCUGUUCAGCAGAAUUGAAGAGGAAUAUAUUUACAACUGGAACCUGGCUCUAGCUCCGUGGGGACUGAAAUGAAGGAGACGCUUUUUUCUGCAAGGGGCUGUUCUGCCCACGAUGAGAGACAAAAGUUUGGUGGGAGACGCUGAAAAGCCACAGUCCUACCGUGUCUCAGACAAGAGUGUUGGUGGAGGGGAAGGAAGCAGGAGUGACUCAUACGUAAUAUUUAGAGGCCAAGUCUCAAAAGAUUGGCUCAGACUAGAAAAUAAAAAAUAC